rnacentral:rRNA from 1 species
AUUGAACGCUGGCGGCAGGCCUAACACAUGCAAGUCGAACGGUAACAGGAAGCAGCUUGCUGCUUCGCUGACGAGUGGCGGACGGGUGAGUAAUGUCUGGGAAACUGCCUGAUGGAGGGGGAUAACUACUGGAAACGGUAGCUAAUACCGCAUAAUGUCGCGAGACCAAAGAGGGGGACCUUCGGGCCUCUUGCCAUCGGAUGUGCCCAGAUGGGAUUAGCUUGUUGGUGGGGUAACGGCUCACCAAGGCGACGAUCCCUAGCUGGUCUGAGAGGAUGACCAGCCACACUGGAACUGAGACACGGUCCAGACUCCUACGGGAGGCAGCAGUGGGGAAUAUUGCACAAUGGGCGCAAGCCUGAUGCAGCCAUGCCGCGUGUAUGAAGAAGGCCUUCGGGUUGUAAAGUACUUUCAGCGGGGAGGAAGGGAGUAAAGUUAAUACCUUUGCUCAUUGACGUUACCCGCAGAAGAAGCACCGGCUAACUCCGUGCCAGCCGCCGCCGUAA